rnacentral:rRNA from 1 species
GAUGAACGCUGGCGGCGUGCCUAAUACAUGCAAGUCGAGCGAACAGACGAGGAGCUUGCUCCUCUGACGUUAGCGGCGGACGGGUGAGUAACACGUGGAUAACCUACCUAUAAGACUGGGAUAACUUCGGGAAACCGGAGCUAAUACCGGAUAAUAUAUUGAACCGCAUGGUUCAAUAGUGAAAGACGGUUUUGCUGUCACUUAUAGAUGGAUCCGCGCCGCAUUAGCUAGUUGGUAAGUUAACGGCUUACCAAGGCAACGAUGCGUAGCCGACCUGAGAGGGUGAUCGGCCACACUGGAACUGAGACACGGUCCAGACUCCUAAGGGAGGCAGCAGUAGGGAAUCUUCCGCAAAGGGCGAAAGCUUGACGGAGCAACGCCGCGUGAGUGAUGAAGGUCUUCGGAUCGUAAAACUCUGUUAUUAGGGAAGAACAAAUGUGUAAGUAACUAUGCACGUCUUGACGGUACCUAAUCAGAAAGCCACGGCUAACUACGUG